GUGCUUGUUUUGGCAGCACACAUAAUAAACUUGGAAUGAUGCAGAGAAGAUUAGCAUGCCCCUUGCACAAAGAUGAUAUGCAAAUUUGUAAAGCAUUUCAUAUUUUA
rnacentral:snRNA from 1 species